rnacentral:rRNA from 1 species
AGAGUUUGAUCAUGGCUCAGGAUGAACGCUAGCGGCAGGCUUAAUACAUGCAAGUCGAGGGGCAGCAUGGUGUAGCAAUACACUGAUGGCGACCGGCAAACGGGUGCGGAACACGUACGCAACCUUCCCAAAAUUGGUGAAUAGCCUUCCGAAAGGAAGAUUAAUACACCGUAACAUAUAGAGAUGGCAUCAUUUUUAUAUUAUAGCUCCGGCGAUUUUGGAUGGGCGUGCGACUGAUUAGGUAGUUGGCGGGGUAACGGCCCACCAAGCCUGCGAUCAGUAACUGGUGUGAGAGCACGACCAGUCACACGGGCACUGAGACACGGGCCCGACUCCUACGGGAGGCAGCAGUAAGGAAUAUUGGUCAAUGGACGAAAGUCUGAACCAGCCAUGCCGCGUGAAGGAUGAAGGUCCUCUGGAUUGUAAACUUCUUUUAUAGGGGACGAAAAAAGGGAAUCCUUUCUCACUUGACGGUACCCUAGGAAUAAGCACCGGCUAACUCCGUGCCAGCAGCCGCGGUAAUACGGAGGGUGCAAGCGUUAUCCGGAUUCACUGGGUUUAAAGGGAGCGUAGGUGGGCUAGUAAGUCUGUGGUGAAAUCUCUGAGCUUAACUCGGAAACUGCCAUGGAUACUAUUAGUCUUGAAUAUUCUGGAGGUAAGCGGAAUAUGUCAUGUAGCGGUGAAAUGCUUAGAUAUGACA